rnacentral:rRNA from 1 species
UACAGAGGUCUCAAGCGUUGUUCGGAUUCAUUGGGCGUAAAGGGUGCGUAGGUGGCGCCGUAAGUCAGGUGUGAAAUUUCGGAGCUUAACUCCGAAACUGCAUUUGAUACUGCGGUGCUUGAGGACUGGAGAGGAGACUGGAAUUCACGGUGUAGUAGUGAAAUGCGUAGAUAUCGUGAGGAAGACCAGUGGCGAAGGCGGGUCUCUGGACAGUUCCUGACACUGAGGCACGAAGGCCAGGGGAGCAAACGGG